AUUGAACGCUGGCGGCAGGCCUAACACAUGCAAGUCGAACGAGUGGCGGACGGGUGAGUAAUGUCUGGGAAACUGCCCGAUGGAGGGGGAUAACUACUGGAAACGGUAGCUAAUACCGCAUACCAUCGGAUGUGCCCAGAUUGGUUUAGCUAGUAGGUGGGGUAACGGCUCACCUAGGCGACGAUCCCUAGCUGGUCUGAGAGGAUGACCCGGCACACUGGGACUGAGACACGGUCCAGACUCCUACGGGAGGCAGCAGUGGGGAAUAUUGGACAAUUGGCGAAAACCUGAAGGAGCCAUGCCGGGUGUAUGAAGAAGGCCUUCGGGUUGUAAAGUACUUUCAGCGGGGAGGCGUUACUCGCAGAAGAAGCACCGGCUAACUCCGUGCCAGCAGCCGCGGUAAUAC
rnacentral:rRNA from 1 species